rnacentral:rRNA from 1 species
CCCUCAAUAAAUUUUAUUUGAAAAAAUAAUUUAAUAAAUUAGCUGAUUAAAGAAUAAAUUUGGUCAUAUAAACUUAUUUUUAUUUAGAGCUUGCUUUUUAGAAAAAAUUGAAAUAAACCAGGGAUAGACGCCUGUUAUUCUUUUAUAAAAUUAAUUUUAGGAGUAAAAGAGGAGUCUCUAAAUUAAAAUAAAAUGGCGGUAUUUCUAUCCCAGGCGGGGGAGCGUGAUUAUUUAUAGAUAUUCCUCUCAUAUCUUACUAAUUUUUAUUUUUUGUGUGGUUGUUUUGUAAAAAGGUUUACAUACUAAUUUUAUUUCAGAUAACAUGAAAAAAUAAAUUAGGUUAAUUUAGCUACAGUAAUAAAAUAAAUAAUUUAACAUGUUAAUAAAAUACCACUAUAGGACUCGCUAGUAAAAUUAAAUAAAUAAAUUUUUUUGAAAUGGUUAUAGUUUAUGUACAUAUCGUCCGUCACUCUCAUUUAAC